CCGUGACUACCUAACACUGUUGCUUCGGCGGGGAGCCCUCUCGGGGGCGAGCCGCCGGGGACUACUGAACUUCAUGCCUGAGAGUGAUGCAGUCUGAGUCUGAAUAUAAAAUCAGUCAAAACUUUCAACAAUGGAUCUCUUGGUUCCGGCAUCGAUGAAGAACGCAGCGAACUGCGAUAAGUAAUGUGAAUUGCAGAAUUCAGUGAAUCAUCGAGUCUUUGAACGCACAUUGCGCCCCCUGGCAUUCCGGGGGGCAUGCCUGUCCGAGCGUCAUUGCUGCCCAUCAAGCCCGGCUUGUGUGUUGGGUCGUCGUCCCCCCCGGGGGACGGGCCCGAAAGGCAGCGGCGGCACCGUGUCCGGUCCUCGAGCGUAUGGGGCUUUGUCACCCGCUCGAUUAGGGCCGGCCGGGCGCCAGCCGACGUCUCCAACCAUUUUCUUCAGGUUGACCUCGGAUCAGGUAGGGGAUA
rnacentral:rRNA from 1 species